CACCUUUACUCCAAUAUAAAAUAGUUGUUUUGUUUUUUUUUUUAAAGAACUUUCUAGACUUUGCUGGUGGUCCAGUGGUUAAGAUUCUGCCCUCCCAAUGUAGGGAGUGCAGGUUUGAUUCCUGGUAAGGGAAUCAAGAUUCCACAGACAAUAAUAAUAAAAGAACUCUCAAAUGAGGAAGAAACAACUCAAUAUUUUUAAAAAAGGCGGCCAAGGUUAUAAACAAACCACAGACCCAUGGAAGCCUAAAAAGUAAACAAAUGAAAAGCUGCGCAGCCUCACAUGUCUCUACUGAAGCUGUUUUAGGCAAAUUUCUUUCAGAAUGAAUGACGGAAUUUGUAAUGGUUUUUUGUUUUCAAGGAUGAGGAUGUAGAGAUUGUGGUUAAUGAACUAGGGCAUUGGGUCAUUUAUGAUACCCCUAACUCUGGGUUUUUCACAAUGAUGCUCUAGCAAUUGCUGUGUUGUACAAUUUUAGUACUUGAUUAGUAAUUGUUAUUGGCUGAUCACUGCUUAUAGGUGUUGGAGUCAUGAUGGAGGUUACUCUGGUAACUAAAUAGAAUUAUGCUCGGGAGGAGGUAAUGAGGAAUGAGAGGAAACAGUUCCCUCAGGCAUUUUUGGUCUGAUACAGUGUAGAGGUUUUUCUUUGGCUAAGAGAGAUGGAUUUGGGUAAAACAUGUUGUAGUCAGAAGUGAUGACACUGGUUUUUAGCUAUCUGAAAAAUUUAAUGAUAGUAAGGGGCGGUGCAGGAUCAUUGGAAAAGAGCCUAAGAGGUUAGAGAAUUUGAAGAGGUUUGAACGAUAAUUCAACUUUAGAUUUGGGGUAGUACGGUUGAUUUCUAGGGCCAGAAUAAAACCUGAAAUAGUCACGGCCAGGGCAGCUCGUUUCCAAUAACGAGGCAUUGUUAUUUGUGGAAUUUUUGUGGGGGAGAACAGUGUUGGAGAGAAGGAAUCCAGCGAAGAUGCUUCCAGCUAAUGGACGUUUGAUGGAAUGGAUUAGGAGCAGGUGAUUUUCAUUGAGAAGAGAGAGAAGCAAGGUUGUUCUGGGAGUGGGAGGAAAAUUUGCAUGCUGUAGACAGCUGGGAGCAGUGUGGUAAUGAGAGUGGUUAACAGGGCUCAGGCAUCGGUUACAAGGAGUUAGCAGUUUUCAUCAUCAGGUCUUUGGAAUAAGAACCGGUGAGGACGAGGCUUCCUGUUCUCGUGAGACUUCGGCGACGGGGGAGGUUGCGGUGAAAAGGGGAUCUUCCCAACCCACGGAUCAAACCCAGGUCUCCCACACUGCAGACAGAUGCUUUACCUUCUAGUCCUAUGAAAAUGCUACAUCAGGAGAUGAAUGAAGAAUGGACAAAUUCCAGUGAGUUCGUGAUGACUCUAAAGAUCUUGUUAUUCUCAUACGUCUGGAGGCAGGAAUUUUGCAAACUACACGAAUACCUGUAGCUUUACCAGAACCACCCUAGCUUUGCUUCACUUUCCUAGUCACUGAACAACCUGAACGAGAAUGAGCCUGUUUGGGGGACUGUUACCCAUACUAGGAAAUGUGACUGAGUCCAAAUUUGCUGCUCUGGAAGUAUUUGAAGGCCUUUAGUUCACAACAUUCUUUUGUAACUCUUCACUCGUGGUUCCCUAGAGAUGUUGUUUUAAUGUGUGUUCUAGCUUUCCCAGAGGGAGAGCCCACAGGUGGACACAGUUUUCCCUGCCCUUGCCCCACGCCCUGGCAGAUCCAAAGUCCAGUAUUCUCACCCACGUUGUAAAGCCAACUCCUUAGAAGUCUGGAGAACACGUUCAUUUAAACACUAUGCUUCUGUAAUAAACAAACAACUACAAAGGUA